AUUUUACCAACCAUGAACUUUGAAUCUAUGAUACUCGUUAGUAAGUGUUAAUCAUGAAUGAUGAUGAAUAUGCAUGAGAAAUGAAUGGGGUUAGAUGGAUCUCAGGUUACGGGUUAAAUGGAAAAGAAAAAUGGUGGGAAAAUUUUGGGGUACUACAACCACAACCACAGAAAACCGAAACGCGAACCAAAUCACAAAAUUCUUCUCCCCUGAACCCUAGCCCCCAAUUCGCAACACGAGGGUUCUCUUCGAAAUCGCACAUACCGCCAUGAAAUCUCACUAACCUCUAACACUUCGCUUAAGACCGAACUUCAAAUGAAGUAGAAUUUCAAUGGCAAAAGACGAAUAUCCUCUCAAGGUUCGCGAAAUCAGAAGAUCGAAAGAAGAAGAGUCCUACCAGCGCCGAUGUGUCGUUGAUUUAACGUCCUUAAUCGCGGCGUAUUAGAGAUGAACAACGAAAGCUCCAUUCUUGUGCAAGUUUCGUAUUCGUGCUGAAGACGAUCGUGUGGUUGAUGAUGAAGAGCGAAGUCACUCCCUUCGAAAACUCGUUUGAUGAGGGUUUAGAAGAGGCGAGGUUGCAUUGUGAAGGGAAGGUCCGUUGAAGAUUGGAGGGAGGUUGGAGUGAAAGGUUGAGGAUCGGUUCCAUUCAGGGUGAUUGUUGGUUAUGGAGUAUGAUGUUGUGAACUGUUGACUGAUGGUGGAGAUGAUGGAUUCGAUUGGUGGUUAUAACUUGAGUUCUCAUGAAAAAAAGUUGCAGGUUUCUCUCUUCGGUUAUAUAGAGAGUGAUGAUGGAUUUUGGCCCUUGGGAACUUAGUGAGGUUAAAAGAGGUUCUGUUAUGAAGCGGUUUGGAGGAAUGUUUUUAGUUUUUGAUUUGGUUACAGGUUGGAAUGAUUGUACAAGGGUGAUAAUAUCCUGUUCUAGAAGGUUUGGGCAUUAUGGUCAAAUGGGGUAUCGAUAUUGCAAAGUUCUUGGAAUUCUGUACAGUUUUGUUAACUCACUUAGCAGGUGGUUCGAAAAAGCUUCGGUUAGCGGUUGUAUAUUAUGAAGUUUUUGUGAAUUCAGAAUUGGGUUCAUCUUGGAAGGUUCUUGUUUUCUCUAUUAUAUGAUUAAAGUUGGGAGUGUUUUGUUGAUGUUAGGGUGAAGAGAAGGAUUAAGGGUUGGUUAGUAUAGGAUUGGAGAAGUUGAGUUGAUUCUUUGAGACAUUGAGAUGCCAAAGAGAAAUCCUUAGGACAAAAUCAAGGCAUGAGCGCUUCCUAGUGGCACACCUAAAGGGAUAAGGUAUUGUGUUUGAUGUGGAGUUCAGAUACUUAAGGAGACUUAAGUCAUGGUGUCAUCAUAACAUCGAGGUUGGCGUGGUAGGAUGACUUGAAACACUUGGCGACUUUAAAGGUUGAAGUUCUAUGAAGAUGAGAACCACAAUAGAACUUUUUUGUAACAUCUGAUUUAGGCCUUUUCAUGAUGUACUGUAAUUGUUUACCAGUGAUUUCUGAUAAACAACCGCUAGUCUUCCAAAUUUAUAUAUUUUUGGUAACUUACAGGAUCGAUAGAUUGAUCCUAGGA